UACGGAGGGUGCGAGCGUUGUCCGGAAUCAUUGGGCGUAAAGGGCGCGUAGGCGGCUCAUGAAGGCUGUGGUGAAAGUCCGGGGCUCAACCUCGGAUCGGCCGUGGCGACUCGUGGGCUGGAGCACUGUAGAGGCGGGUGGAAUUCCGGGUGUAGCGGUGGAAUGCGUAGAGAUCCGGAAGAACACCAGUGGCGAAGGCGGCCUGCUGGGCUAUGGCUGACACUGAGGCGCGACAGCGUGGGGGAGCAAACAGG
rnacentral:rRNA from 1 species